GAACUUCAGCUAAGACUGAGCACAAUGGGGCAAUUUUUAAGGCUUAACUCCUCCCCAUUCCAUAGCUCUUAGCAUGGUAAACUGGUAAGGGUGGUCAAGUUUGUAUAAGGGAUCAACGAGAUUCUAGGAAAGAAAAGAUUAAAAUGUCCUUCUCUUUGGGGUUAAAGAUUAUUAGAAUGACUCUGAUUUAUUAAGAUUGUCCCAAGUGAGGCUGAUCAG
rnacentral:lncRNA from 1 species